CAAUCCCCGCCCGGCCAGGUUGGAUGCACGCCCAUCCUUUCCAAACUAUCCCACCGAGCCCCGCCGCGCCUCCCGCCGAACUGCCGCGCACCUCCCCUCCAGCGGCCUGCGGGCUAGGAGCCGGCGGCCGGAGUGCUGCGCGCCUCCCCUCCACCGGCCUGAGGCCUCGGACCCGAAGGCCGCGCGCCUCCCGCAAACCCCGGCGUCGCCGCGACUAUUGUGCGCCUGGGCUCUGGCCGCCGCCGCCGUGAACCGCGCCAUCCUCGGGGUCCGGCUGCCGCCGCCGUCCCACGCGACGGCUGCGGGCUCGGCCGCGGCCAUCACGCGCCCUAGCUGCGGGCUCGGGCACCGCUGCGCCGUCACGCGCACCGGCACCGGGCUCCAGCCACCGCCGCCGCCCCUUGCCGUGACCCUGUGAAGAGCCGAGGUCCGGAUCCGCCCUCUCCCUCGCCGGAUCUACGCCUCCCUUGGCCAGAUCUACCUCGACUCAAUGUUCCUCCAUCUGGGCGAUGUGGAGCCGCCCUCCCCUUUGCGGCGGCGCUGGCGCGGCCGCCUGUAUCAGCGCUCGCUCGCGAGGAGGCGCUGGCCGGCCUGCCAUGGCCCCGGUGCCCGGAGCCUGGCCGCGGGCGCCUCUCCGCCAACCUCCUCUACGGCCAUCGUGCACAUGGAGCCGCGCGCCGGUCGGUCAUGGUCCCUAUUCUCAUUGCCUUGGAGCUUGGCCCGUACGGCAGCUUAGGCUUGGCUCGGGCUUUGUUGUCCAUGGGGUGGGGGUGAAGCCGAUGCGGCGAUCGCCGGCGAUUGGGAGGCUGUAGCAGUGGCGGGGGAGGGGGAUCUUCCGGGAGGAUUCUCUGGCGAUGGCCGCGGACGUGCUCUCCAUCAUCCUCGGUGUUGUGCUGCGGAACCUCUCCGACAAGCUCUAUGAGAAGUGGAAGAACACCAUGCUUGAGGCCUACAUCCAGAAUCUUGAGAUGAGCCGGAUGAAGUUGGAGUAGCUGGAGCAAGAGCUCCAUUGAACCAGACAUCAACAGGUUCACUACUAAUCAAGGCUUCCAUUGCUGAAUUCCCAGUCAUAUGUUUGUUUGAUUUAUGGGUCAGAUGAUAAUUAUUCAGAAACAUGGGUCAGUUGCAGCGUGAAAAAUAUUUGUGAAUGUUUGCUGGCCUGCAGUUUCAAAUAUUAUAGUCUUACAGAAAUAUGUGAUUUAUAUGUACUCCUAUAGUUCAAUUUAUAUCUGCUUGUGACUUCAAAGUGAAAUACGAGUUGUCUCUCCAUAAAUGUACAUUUUAGCUUAGAUACUCUGAUGCUUCACCAAUGUUAUAAAUUGUUAAAAAAUCAUGGGGCUGAGGAAAUACAAGGAAAUACAUUUAUCCUUUUAUAUAACAUGCCUGAAUGCUUUUACAUGCUUUUGUUGGAGAAUAAUCAAAGUCGUGCCAUGCUGUUGCUGUUGUUUGGCUUCUCGAUGACACGCAGUUCUGUUAAGCCGUGUACUUAUACAUUUCUCUCAUUUGCGAUCUCUAAUCCAACUUGGCAUCAUAGCGUUAGCACGGGCACACACCCACUACCCUCGCCGUCACACCUCCUUGAUUCCUGUGUGCUUCUUUCCCGGCGGCGCUGUUUGGGUGGCACCCGUUGAUCUCGGCGGCAGCGGGAGACACACCGGCAGAGCUGAGGAGCGCGUGGGAGGAUGUCAGAUCCUUGAUCCGCAGAGAAAAGGACAAACAUUACAUCGAGGAUCUAUGCGACCAAGAGACUUAAAGAUUUGUAGAGCACCGCUGAGGUGAUUGAAAAAAGAAAGAAACUUUGGGGGCAAGGUAAAUCACAUAAUCAAGCUAACUGUGAUUUUCUGGGGCAUUGUCUUCUAACAACAUCAAGGUCAAGACCGACGGGCGGCGGCAAACUGCAAGGUAGAAGAAUCACAAGAUGAUGUCAUGACAUGAUAUCAAGCUCCAAUGGUAAGCUACCACAUCAUGCUUUUCUUUAUAUAUAGGUUUAUAUUAUUAAAUUUGCUUCUUGCCAAUCUAUACUGUUGAUUGAACAUUGUGUCACAUGGAGAACCAAUCUAGACUGACCGAUCCUGAUUAUGCCCAAGGUUACAAGAUCAUGUCUACAGAUUGCUUCCCGUUUCUGAUAGCCUCUCAGGUACAGUUCAGGAGUUUGUAAUCCUAUUUAGUUUCGAGAUAAGUGUCCUGUAGGAAGCGAAACUCAAAACUUGUAGUUCAUAAUGUUGUUUAACUGUGUUGCAAGGCUCACUGGAUGCACUAAAUGAGAUUCUUAAAGAACCUGUACCAAUGAACCAUUUCAGACCAAAGCAUUCACUUCUUCUAAUGAAGCCAGCCUGAAUCAGGGCUUUCCAAUUUCCCAUGUGCAUUAGACUAUAGUAGCACUUAAAACGAGUUGUCAACAAAACAUGAGAAAAAGCAUUUGUCAUGUGUAUUGUGCUCAAACUAAAAGAAAUAGUUGGCUGCUAAGAUCAUUGGAUGAUCCAAUAAAACAUUUCCCACUGCACCCUACUCAUGAAUUCUCAAUCGUCUUAUGAUCAUUUUGGACUAUGGAUCGUAUCUUAUUUUUUGUACGUCUGAAAUUUUUCCGUAGCGUUAGCACGGGCAUGCUUACUAUAUUCUUAAGUCAUGAUAUGGAUAAGGCAAUUAACAUGAAGUUCCUUCUUUGUGUUUUUGAACAACUAUCAGGCUUAAAAAUAAACUAUCACAAAAGUGAAAUCUAUUGUUUUGGCAAAGCCAAAGAUGCCGAAAUGGAGUAUUCUCACUUAUUUGGAUGCAGGACGGGAGAGUUCCCUUUUCGCUAUUUAGGUAUCCCGAUGCACUUUCGAAAACUUAGUACUCGAGAUUGGAAAGUAAGUUUGAAAAAAAAUUGGCUGGUUGGAAAGGUAAGCUCCUCUCGGUAGGGGGUCGAUUAGUACUCAUAAACUCGGUGCUUUCUAGCCUACCAAUGUUCAUGAUGUCCUUCUUCCAAGUCCCUAAAGGAGUCUUAAAAAAGUUAGAUUACUACAGAUCACGGUUUUACUGGAAGAAUGAUCAGCUCAAAUGGGAGAUAAUCUGUCAACCAAAGCAACAGGGAGGUCUUGGUUUACAAAAUCUGGAAAUUCAGAACACUUGUUUACUGAGCAAAUGGCUUUACAAACUCUGUAAUGAAGAGGGUAUGUGGCAAUCACUGUUGCGAAAUAAAUACUUAAGAAAUAAAACAUUAUGGGGAUGUUCUAAGAAAGCUACGGAUUCACAAUUCUGGAAGGGGUUGAUGAAUGUGAAGGACCAUUUCUUAAGAUACGGAUCAUUCAAGGUCGGGAAUGGGGCACAAAUUAGAUUUUGGGAGGAUACUUGGUUGGGGGGCAGCCCCUCAAAUCCAAGUUCCCAGCCCUGUUCAAUAUUGUUCACCGUAAACAAGACACUGUGGCUAAAGUUUGUAACUCAACACCACUUGACGUUUCUUUUCGCCGAUCCUUAGUGGGACAAAAUCUUAGAGAUUGGAAUCAGAUAGUGUCCUCUAUUUUGGAUCUGAACCUUACACAAGAUCCAGACACCUUUAUUUGGUCUUUAAAUUCGAAUGGACAAUUCUCAGUUAAAUCGAUGUAUGCUGCACUUAUUAAUAAUGGAAUACGGGUUUCCCAGGAAAUUUGGCAAACGAAACUACCAACAAAGAUUAAAGUCUUCAUGUGGUAUUUAAAGAAAGGUGUAAUUCUAACUAAAGAUAACUUAGCCAAAAGAAAUUGGCAUGGGGAUAGAGCAUGUUCUCUUUGUCAUGUCAAUGAGUCUAUACAACAUCUUUUUUUAGAUUGCGCUCAUGCCAAGUUUUUGUGGCGACUUGUUCAUUGUGUUUUUGAUCUUACUAAGCCUACUACCAUUGCCGAGUUAUUUGACCAAUGGCCAAGACAUUAUUGUUAACAGCGGCUGCAGCCCUAUGUUGGACUAUUUGGCUUUCCCGAAAUGAAGUGGUGUUUGACAAAUGCAAACCAAAAACUUUCUUGCAGGUACUUUUCAGGGGAACGUUCUAGCUCCAGCAGUGGGCGUCGCUACAGCGCCUUGAGGAAGACCAGGAGGUGUUGCGGCAAAUUUGCCAAUUACUUGAAGGGGCAGCUCUCCAAAUCUUCGCUUCCUUUGGAUGGUUAUCGUCAAGUCGUUUAGGUUUCCAUUAGUUAAACUGAAUUUUGGUGUGCUUUGUUUCGAUUAUUGGUUGUGUGCCAGGAAUUACUCCCGACAACUUUGUAAUCUUUUGGUCUGAUUCUACCCUGGGUAGAUGAAGCCGGAUAGAACACUAUCCUUUAUCUAAAAUAAUGUGAUUCUAAUCUUCCAUUAAAUCUGAGCUUGUGUACUGAAGUACUUAACUGUGUGCAUGCAUGGCCUGCUGAAUUUGGCCUACCAAUUGUCUGAAAAGUCAUCUCUGAUGUCCUAUCAUGCAUUGUUCAUAUAUAAUUUUCCUUCAAUAAAAAAUGUCUUGAACCUCCAUUCUGCUUCCUGACAAAUGGGUACCUUUUGCUGUGGAGGUCAUGACUUUUGCUUAUUCCCUGGAAGUUUGCAGCUGUUACCGCAUUGUGUGUUCAGUAUGAAGCCACUUCUAGCCGAACAUGAGCAUCAUGGUCAAGCAGGCGCUCCAG